GGCCAUGUUGCCCCUUUUCUUUUUGCGACGAGUUGUUGAGGACGAAGUGAGAGUUUCCCUCAACGGCACCGCAUUCCUCGAGUGAUUAAGCCGAGUGCUGUUUGACAGUUCUUCACAUUCCUGCCGAGGAGCCUGCAGAUGACAGCCGAGUGAUUGAAGGGUUUUAUGGUCCAGCUUCACCAGAGAGGAGAAAUCCCUCCACUGCGUCAACGUGAGCUCCACCUGAGGGAGUCUGCAACCACCUGCUGGUGUGAUGGUGCAGCAGCAGCCACGUUGACCUAAAGCCUUUGAGCAAGCGGUCAUCAGGCACACGUGAUCAGAUUAUUGGUUCUGUGAUAUUUAGCAGGGUUUAUUUUUUUUGCAGGGAUCAUGAUAGAAUUUACCAUUAACAAUGUUAGUAAUAUAUGUUUGAGGUUUUAAUGAAAUUAAACUUUCACUUCUCCCCAAAUAACAUUUUAUAUUUAACCCGUUGUAUUGUCAUGUCAGCAGGUUUUAGUUCAUAUACUGAGAUUUGAGAUUAACAAUUUAUUUUUGCUUGUAUCCUAUGAAUCUUUAAAAUAUAUAUAUUAUAUAAACAUAAAAUAGAGGUACUGACAAACACAACGGUAGCUUCAAAAAUAGGACAAAAAAAAAAAAAAAAAAAGAUUUAAUCCGGGAGAUAAAUCCCUCAAAAUACAAGAGUGAACUUACCGUUGAGACGUAUUUGUAAAAACCUUUAAAUAAUCAGGCGGGGGAACUUUACAAUGUACAAGUUUAUUUUUAAUGAACUCUUCAGUGGUUGGUAGUCACAGCACAGCUUGCAUGUAUUAAGCCACACACCUAUUUUACAAGAUGACAGGGGAAGAAAUAAAAAUAAAACAAAAACCUAAAGUCUAAAGCAGAGCAGAUGUCCAUCAGUCCAUCUACGGAGACAUUCUCUUUUAGACUUCUUUUAAUAAAACAUCCUUAAAAAAGGCCACUGAAAUGCAUAAUAGGUUUUCAGAUGCAUGAAUAUUUGACGGUGGCGGUUCGCGUGGCCCUGACUCCUCACAUGGCAUCGACAGUGCAUGUAGACAUUUGUAAAAAGGACUGGUUAGCGAUACCCAACAUAUUCUUUUCUCUCUUUUUCUUCCCUAGUGACCACACCGUAGCUGUAUUACAGCUUAAAAACAAACAAAAAGAAACAAUAACCAGCACUCUUCCAAGUUACUGAAUACAACGAAAGUGAAAUGUAGUGAAGCAGUUAUUUUAUUCAUCUCAUAAGUAUGUGAACACUUAUUUUAAACUGGAAAAGAAAGAAAGAAGAGGCACCAAACACCUGCCAGCCGUCCCGUGUGGGAGAGAGAGGCUCCAAAUGUGUCCAAAGUCUUUAGACUAUAAAAGAAAAAUAAUUAAAAACACACCUUGUUGUCCUCUGGAAUUUGUAUACUUUUAAUAGUAACAGACAGGAACCAUAAACGCAUGCCAUGUGCUGGUCUCAAACAAAUACAUACAGGUAUAUACAGCAUCACUCAGUACCUGCUAAAACAAAGUGAGAAAUACAGAGUAUAAACUGACUACACUACAAACUUAAAAAAAAAAAACGGGGGGGGGGAGAGGGGGGAGGAGGGUGAGCGAUGAAAGCGGUGGAAGAGUGAAAAUCCUACAAGUGAUGACUCGUCAUCAAAGCAU